UACGUAGGUGGCAAGCGUUGUCCGGAUUUACUGGGCGUAAAGAGCGCGCAGGCGGUCGGAUAAGUCGAAUGUGAAAGCCCCUGGCUCAACCAGGGAGGGUCAUUCGAUACUGUUCGACUCGAAGGCAGGAGAGGGAAGUGGAAUUCCGGGUGUAGUGGUGAAAUGCGUAGAUAUCCGGAGGAACACCAGUGGCGAAGGCGACUUCUGGCCUGUUCUGACGCUGAGGCGC
rnacentral:rRNA from 1 species